CCGGUGGCUGAGGAGGAGGGACAUUACAGAGUUAUCCAACUCCCAAACCCAUGUGAACUUAUCUCUUUGUUGCCUCGGCGCAAGCUACCCGGGACCUCGCGCCCCGGGGGGCCCGCCGGCGGACAAACCAAACUCUGUUAUCUUCGUUGAUUAUCUGAGUGUCUUAUUUAAUAAGUCAAAACUUUCAACAACGGAUCUCUUGGUUCUGGCAUCGAUGAAGAACGCAGCGAAAUGCGAUAAGUAAUGUGAAUUGCAGAAUUCAGUGAAUCAUCGAAUCUUUGAACGCACAUUGCGCCCAUUAGUAUUCUAGUGGGCAUGCCUGUUCGAGCGUCAUUUCAACCCCUAAGCACAGCUUAUUGUUGGGACUCUACGGCUUCGUAGUUCCCCAAAGACAUUGGCGGAGUGGCAGCAGUCCUCUGAGCGUAGUAAUUCUUUAUCUCGCUUUUGUUAGGCGCUGCCCCCCCGGCCGUAAAACCCCCAAUUUUUUCUGGUUGACCUCGGAUCAGGUAGGAAUACCCGCUGAACUUAAGCAUAUCAU
rnacentral:rRNA from 1 species